AUCUCUUUAGCAUGAAUAUUUUUGGAUGGACUGUUGUAUAUAGAAGGUAAAAUCACAGUGCCUGAAGAUGUACGUUCUCUUUCCAUCUCUGCUGUGUGCUGUUGGAUAGGCAAACCAAGGUGUUAGGAAUGCCUCUGCUACCAAAUGCAACCUGCCCUGCCUAAACUCCCUGGUACCAUUGGCUUGUGUUCCUGGGGAGGUGAUAAGGGAAUAGUUGAUCUGUUGUCUGGAACCCAUCACCAACCCCAUCUCCAGCCCUGCAUCCAUGCUGUUCUUUCCCAAGGCACUGCAGCAUGGCUUUAAAGAUUCCUUUGUGCCCUACAGAAGUGUUGGGAAGACAAGAGUAGUGAAACACUUCUUGCAAAGCUCUUGAGCACCUUCUGAUUGAAUGGAAUUCUCUAAGUUGAUGGCAUCUUCUAAAAUCAGCUUUCAUCCUAGAGGGACUUCUGAUUAGUGAAUUUUGAUAGUACUGGAAAGUUGGCACAGCCGUAGGGAAUAGCACAAUUUAAAUGCUAAUAUUUCAGAAGUGUCACUUUUUCCAUAAAUAUUGAAAUUUGACCAAUCAUUGCUAGACCUCUUUGUUAACAUUGAAAACCCAGAAAACAUUCUUGCACUGGAUUCCUCAGAAAAACCUGAUUCACUGAGCACAAAUUCCAAAAUCACCCCAAAAUGGUAAAGAGAAGCUGCUAAAGCAGGACACUUAUGUUCUUCUAAUGCACCUGCAAUGUGCUGUACCGUAACCACUGAAUACUGCCCAUCCGCCUUGCGGUACGUGCACUGGGACCCCAGCCAGGCUCAGUACCCCGUUGUGCUGAGCACUUUACCAAAACACAGAGGGACAUGGACUUGCCCCAGAAGAGCUUUUAGUUCCACUGUAGUUGUUUUUGUGACCUUGGACAAGUCGUAGAACUGCUCUCUGCCUCAGUUUGCCCAUCUCUAAAAUGGGAGUUAUGAAGCCUACCUCACAAGGAUGAUGUGAGGAGUAUGUCAGUGACAGCAAAGUGCUUUAACAUCAGAAAUACUGUAGGACUGCAGCAUUCAUGGGCGAAGCAGGUGAAAGCAGUGUAUCAUGUCUCCUGGUCCCUGUCUUCAUGCAGGCUGGUAGAUACUGGUCUGAUUUGGCUGUUUCAAGAAGGACUAGCAAAAGCCAGACGAGGUGCCGUGCUAAGCUUAGGGUUAACACUUUUCUCCAUCCUUCAAAAUGUUUCACUCUCCCAUAGGAAAACAGCCAUGGAAGUCAGUUGAGGAGCCAGGGAUUUCCUACAAUCAUUUUUGGGCAGGGAGUUAGAGAAAGCAGAGGUGGAAAGAGCACAUGGGUCAUCAGGUGCAUUCCCAAGAAUGCCUGUGCUGUGGGCAUCCUGUAUCUUACGCUCUCACCCUGAAUCCUGCAGAAAAGAUAGCUGUGAGGCCUGAGCAAGAAAGGCCUGAUCUGGGGCGCUACCCAGCAAACAAACUCAAUGGACUUGAUUCUUUUAAAGCAGCUUUUAUACCGUGGGUUUGAGAAGUUAGAUAACACCUGAGUCAAUUAGUGUCCCUGAAAGAGGCUGUGUCUUACACAGAAGUGCACAGAAGGCAGUGUGCAUGUGAAUGCACCAUGAGCGUGGUGGUAGGCCUCGUCCACCAGAGGAAGAGGUUCAGGCCUUUAAUGGGGUCUAAGAGCACAGAGCCAGGAAGAUUUGAGCCUUGUUUCCAUGCUGAGAGAUGCAGAAGGUUUUUAGUUCCUGAAAUGGCAAAGAAAUAAGAGCGGCUUCUUUCGAGAACAUGAGGUCCAGGCCACUCUGAAGGUAGCCAGGAGUUAAACUGACCUGAGAUCAGGGGCUGAGACCCUCUAUGCAACAGAGAGGUGUCAGUGGCUGGGAUUCUGUUGUAUUCUCUCUGUGAUCUCCUGAGACUUGGAGCCACAGAGCCCUUGGAGGCUCAGGUCAAGACAGGAUGGAUGGCAGCAGGGGAGGGAUGUGCCCAUGCUAUUCAGAAGCAGAUUUGCGUCCUGGUGUGAUGUCAAAUGUGUUCUGAGAAACUGUGUUCUGAAUGCCUCUGGAUUUCUCUGUGGCCGGGCAUUAGGCCAUAGCCAGACUCAUGAGCUGAAGGAGAGACCAGUGUGCCAUUAAAACAUUCCACAAAAGAUACAGGAGCUUAAAUAUGCAGAAAAAAAUGCCCACUGAAAUCCUUCUCUGAAGUAUGCAAAGGAAGGUAGGGAUGUGAGUUAGGGGAUAGUAAAACUUUACUUACUACAGCCCAUCCACUUGUCAGGAAAGGUGAUUUUUUUCAAAUGAGCAGUGAAUCAUCUUAGACUAAUUCUGUUUGGGUCUGGAAACACGAAGUAGUUGCACCAUCCUUCCUACAGUCCUGCAUGAUUGGCUCAGCUUUGGCUGGGGGCAGCGAGCUCUGUCUCAGGCUAUCCUCUACCUGAGGAGUUAGCAGGGGAAGCUGGAAACAACAGGCAUUUUGGUUGUGGGCAGCUGGUUUUGGAGGUUAAGGGACUGCCACUGGGAAAAGGAUUGGGGCCUGGCGCCAUUUUGUUUUUAUGGAUACAGUCAACAUAGCCUUUGCCAGAUGCUGGUUAAAUGGUGCAGCAUAGUCAAAUGGAGGUAAUAGAACAGACUAGACCUACAACCAAGUCUGUGCUUAAUGAGAGAGACAAGGUUUGAGGGAGAGAUCCUAUCUUUUACUAGAAAUAUAUAUUUUUUAUUAUUAAAACACCUCCCCCUUUAAACCAUGCCUCUUGCAUUACCUUAAACUAUGCCAACUACCAUAACACAUUUAGGACAUCUUUAGAAAUGCUUUGCAAUGGAUUUUGUCUCAGUACUGUCAUUCCAGUGUUAACAAACUUCUGUGGCCCUUCUGGUCAUGCAACCUUUUCAUAUCCCAGGGUACAUACCAAAGCAAGAGACUUCAACUUUGCAAGGUGCCAAAGGUUGCUUAUUAUGUCCAAAAAUACCAUCUCUGCUUUCCGUGUGAGCUGAGGGGAUCAGUACGUUCCAGGAAGAGCCUGGAAUUUUUUUGCUCCAUGCCUUUCUUUUGUUGUCCUGCCAACAGAGCCUCAAGGACAGCAUAUGGCCUUGCUAUACUUGCUUUUUCUUAAAAAAAUAGAAAAUAAUAAGACACCAGAGUACCGCAUGAGUUUUAAUAGUGUAAAAUGAGCUGAGUCUACUUCCCUCAGACAAAAAAUCAGAAUGCAGAAUUCAUCAGUUUUAUGGCUGGCUGCAUGUUCCUGCAAUAAUUCCUUAUUUUCCAGGCUUGAGGAAUGAUCACUUUCCCCCACUUCCAGGCUGAUUUAAAAUAUCAUUCUCUCCUAAAAUAAUUCCCUCUGCUCUGAUGCUUACUAGUAACUCAGCCCUGGGCUUCCUCAAAACUCAUUGCCAGGAGCGCUGAAAGAAUUUGCAUCGAGUGGCCCAUUUCCCUCAAUGCUGGAUCAUGUAAGGUACAAGGAGGAGAAUUUUGCCUGUGGCAGAAUUUAUGUAAGCAGUGGAGUACGCAUCUCUGUUAGCCUGUAGUAUCUCUUGACUUAAAAACUCACCCUUUACAGAUGGGGAGGUGGAACAUCAGCAUCUUGAAGAUCCCCUUUUUAAUGUUCUGAAGCAGUUGGGAGUUUCAGGACAGACUUUUUUAGGACCAUUUUGCUGGGCUUGGUUUUCAGAGCAAGGUGAAGAGUUACAGCUGUGCAGGUAGAGCGGGUGAAUGUAGAAAUGUGCUAAAACCAACGCUACAAGGUGGAAUCCAGGGCAGAGAAACCUCAGAUCUACAAAGGUCCUAUGAACUUCAUCUCUUCAUGACACCUUCCUCUGCAGUUUCUGGAGAGACAUUCACAGAUUGAGGACUAGUAGUGGAUCAGAGGCUCUUCUCCCCUUAAUCCUCCCAGGGAAGAGGUGAAGUUGGAGUUGUUCUGCACUGUGAGCCCUGGGGAAGUUUUUGUCACAUCAGCUCGGGUUAGAUUCAGUGGAACAAAUGACUGCCCAGCUUUUUGGAUUGCAAGCAUUUGUUUGCUCCAUCCCAUCCUGCAUUCAGCACAUUGGGUGCUUUUGCAUUAUUACUGUUUUCUGUAAAUUGAGAACUUUUUUACUGGAGGAAAAAAGACGCAUUUGUCUCUUCUUAUACCAUGACACAAUCAGCACUGGUAUAAACCAGACUCAUUUCAAAUAGAGACUGCCAGUCAGUUCUAGGUAGUUCAAGCAGCAGACCUCAUCCCUAGCACUGUGCUGGAGUAGUACAGUUCUUUGCUCAGUACAAGAACUGCCUGAUUUGCAUGAAGAAAAAGUCAGCUGAAAUGAAUCUGGUCUUAAAAAUUAAACCAAACUGCAUCAGUUUUCAAAGCGGAGAAUUUCAAGCCAGUGCAGGAAAGAGAGCUUGGCAUCAGUGAGAAAUACAGGUGAAUGUGAAUAAGGUUAGAGCAGUUAUCUCUGCAGUGCUGAUAUACAGCAGUACUCUGACACAACCCUCCAGUUAUGACGUACCCUUCACCAAACUGUUCA
ensembl:lncRNA